CCUACGGGUGGCAGCAGUAAGGAAUAUUGCUCAAUGGGGGAGACCCUGAAGCAGCCACGCCGCGUGGAGGAUGAAGGUUUUAGGAUUGUAAAAUCCCUUUGUUCGGGGAGAUUAUGACGGUAUGUGACGACUACGCACCGGCAACCUCCGUGCCAGCCGCCGCGGUAAUACGGAGGGUGCAAGCGUUACUCGGAACCACUGGGCGUAAAGCGGGCGUAGGCGGGGUAAUAAGUCAGAUGGGAAAUCCUGUAGCUUAACUACAGAACUGCAUUUGAAACUGUUAUUCUGGAGUGGGGGAGAGGUAGGUGGAAUUCUUGGUGUAGGGGUAAAAUGCGUAGAGAUCACGCGGAAUACUCAUUGCGAAGGCGACCUGCUGGAACAUUACUGACGCUGAUGCACGAAAGCGUGGGGAGCAAACAGGAUUAGAUACCCUAGUAGUC
rnacentral:rRNA from 1 species